rnacentral:lncRNA from 1 species
UGGUCCCAGGAAGCCGCUCCCAGGCCACACGGGCAGGGCGCUCGGGAUGCUCGGCGUUGGCGAGUGCAGCGGGCGGUAGAGAGAAAGACAGAGAGAGAGGCGGAGCGGACACGAGGGACCGUGAGAAAACGGAGGAGGAUAAGCCCCGAGAACGGCGGAAAGAGAAGCCAAAAGCAGAAAAACAGAGGAAGGAGAAGGCGAGAAGGGAAGGCUAGCCAGACACAAAUCCAGGAGCCAUUCCUUCUGCCUGGGAGGAGGGAGUGAUGAAGACCAGAGGAAUCCCAGAGGAGAAGCCAUCUGAGAUCGGGAGGAGGAGAAAUGGAACAUCAGGCGGAGGAAACAGCCCAGACAAUCGCACUGGGACGUGAAAACCCUUGGGCUGCAUGCGGGGAGAAAACCAGAAUUGGGGAUGGUUAGGGUUUUGGAGGGAAACACAGGGACAUGUGACCAAAAAUAAUAAUAACUACUGUUA